GACGAACGCUGGCGGCGUGCUUAACACAUGCAAGUCGAACGUGAUUUUUGUGGAAAUUCUUUCGGGAAUGGAAAUGAAAUGAAAGUGGCGAACGGGUGAGUAACACGUGAGCAACCUACCUUACACAGGGGGAUAGCCGUUGGAAACGACGAUUAAUACCGCAUGAGACCACAGAAUCGCAUGAUAUAGGGGUCAAAGAUUUAUCGGUGUAAGAAGGGCUCGCGUCUGAUUAGCUAGUUGGAAGGGUAAAGGCCUACCAAGGCGACGAUCAGUAGCCGGUCUGAGAGGAUGAACGGCCACAUUGGAACUGAGACACGGUCCAAACUCCUACGGGAGGCAGCAGUGGGGAAUAUUGCACAAUGGGGGGAACCCUGAUGCAGCGACGCCGCGUGAGCGAAGAAGGUUUUCGAAUCGUAAAGCUCUGUCCUAUGAGAAGAUAAUGACGGUAUCACAGGAGGAAGCCCCGGCUAAAUACGUG
rnacentral:rRNA from 1 species